rnacentral:rRNA from 1 species
UACGAAGGGGGCUAGCGUUGCUCGGAAUCACUGGGCGUAAAGGGUGCGUAGGCGGGUCUUUAAGUCAGGGGUGAAAUCCUGGAGCUCAACUCCAGAACUGCCUUUGAUACUGAAGAUCUUGAGUUCGGGAGAGGUGAGUGGAACUGCGAGUGUAGGAGGUGAAAUUCGUAGAUAUUCGCAAGAACACCAGUGGCGAAGGCGGCUCACUGGCCCGGUACUGACGCUGA